UAACAAUGAUGUGGGGAAGAGUUAAAAAUAUCCUUAAAUCUUUCCCAGCAUUGGAAGAAAGUUUCUUCCUUUUUCUGAGAGAAAUUCAUGACCGCCCUCCUUAGGGU